rnacentral:rRNA from 1 species
UACGGGGGGGGCAAGCGUUGUUCGGAAUUACUGGGCGUAAAGGGCUCGUAGGCGGCCAACUAAGUCAUACGUGAAAUCCCUCGGCUUAACCGGGGAACUGCGUCUGAUACUGGAUGGCUUGGGUUCGGGAGAGGGAUGUGGAAUUCCAGGUGUAGCGGUGAAAUGCGUAGAUAUCUGGAGGAACACCGGUGGCGAAGGCGGCAUCCUGGACCGACACUGACGCUGAGGCGCGAAAGCUAGGGUAGCAAACGGG